rnacentral:rRNA from 1 species
GACGUAGGGCGCGAGCGUUGUCCGGAUUUAUUGGGCGUAAAGAGCUCGUAGGCGGCUUGUCGCGUCGGCUGUGAAAACCCGCGGCUCAACUGUGGGCGGGCAGCUGAUACGGGCAGGCUGGAGUUCGGUAGGGGAGACUGGAAUUCCUGGUGUAGCGGUGAAAUGCGCAGAUAUCAGGAGGAACACCGGUGGCGAAGGCGGGUCUCUGGACCGAGACUGACGCUCAUGCACGAAAGCGUGGGGAGCAAACAGG